GAAAUGCGAUAAGUAGUGUGAAUUGCAGAAUUCAGUGAAUCAUCGAAUCUUUGAACGCACAUUGCGCCCUUUGGCAUUCCGAAGGGCAUGCCUGUCCGAGCGUCAUUACGCACCCUCAAGCCCGGCUUGUGUGAUGGGCCCUGGCGUCUCGUUCGCGAGACGGGCCCGAAAGGCAGCGGCGGCGUCGACCCGAUGAGCCCGAGCGUAUGGGGACUUUUGUCACACGUUUGCGGUGCGGACCGGCGCCUGCUUGACUUUUCUGAUUAUCCAGGUUGACCUCGGAUCAGGUAGGGAUACCCGCUGAACUUAAGC
rnacentral:misc_RNA from 1 species